rnacentral:rRNA from 1 species
AGACCCUAAAUUAGAGGUGACACACCUAACGAACUUAGUCAUAGCUGGUUUCUCAAGAAAAGAAUUUUAGUCCAACCUAAAGUAAUUCAGAUUUCUAUUAAUCCUCACCUUACUUUAGAGCAAUUCAAAUGAGGCACAGCCCAUUUGACAAAGGAUACAACCUUCACUAACGGRUAAUACUUUACUUUCAUCUUCAAGUGGGCUUAAGAGCAGCCACCUUUUUAAAAGCGUCAAAGCUUAAUUGUGCUAAUAUUAAUUUAAAAAACAACAUUGACCCCUUUAAUUGUACUGAGAACUUCUAUAAUAAUAUAGAACCUUUUAUGCUAAAACUAGUAACAAGAGAAAACUCCUCUCUUUAAUGCCAACAUACGCCAACAGGAACCCCUCACUGGCAAUUAACAGACCUAAACAAAAGUAGCAACCUCACUAGAAAACCCUACUCUUACACCUGUCAACCUAACACCAGAGCAUUUCAAGAAAGAUUAAAAGAAAAAGAAGGAACUCGGC